UACGAGGGGGGCAAAUGUUGUUCGGAAUCACUGGGCGUAAAGGGCGCGUAGGCGGGUUUCUAAGUCAGGUGUUUAAUCCCGGGGCCCAACCCCGGACAGGCACUUGAAACUGGAAAUCUUGAAUAGUGGAGAGGUCAGUGGAAUUGGAGGUGUAGCGGUGGAAUGCGUAGAGAUCUCCAAGAACACCAGUUGCGAAGGCGGCUGACUGGACACAUAUUGACGCUGAGGCUCGAAAGCAUGGGGAGCAAACAGG
rnacentral:rRNA from 1 species